GACGUAUUAAAAAAAACUACUAACUAGAUCUUGUUCAAACCAAUUUUCGGUGGAAGUUUGCAUGGUAAUGUACAUCAUAUAUUGUUUUUAGUUUUAUCAUUCUCUUAUUUUAGAAAUUACAGGUGGGGGGGGGGGACACAUUUUACCAUUUUGGAAGUGUCUCUCGCGCAAACUAUUCAGUUUAGAAAAAAAUGAUAUUAGAAACCUCAAUAUCAUUUUUGAAGACCUAUCCAUAGAUACCCCACACGUAUGGGUUUGAUGAAAAAAAUUUUUUUGAGGGAUUUAUGACGUAUCAAAAAAAAAACUACUUACUAGUUCUCGUUCAAACCAAUUUUCGGUGGAAGUUUUCAUGGUAAUGUACAUCAUAUAAUUU